GGCUCUCAUUUUGAUUUAAGGUAAAAAGAUUGGUUGUCUUUAUAUUCUAGAAAGAUCAACGGUGACUGAUGAAAGAGGAUGUCUCUCAUCUAUUGAGGAGUUGAAGUCGACUAGUUUGAAGCAGAGACAACUUGGUCAUAGGAGGGAAAAAUGUAUAAUCGUUUUGUAUAAGAGAUGUUCUCUUUUAAAUGCAGAUUUGUC
rnacentral:lncRNA from 1 species